rnacentral:rRNA from 1 species
AUACGGGAGGCAGCAAUUAGGAAUUUUGCGCAAUGGGCGAAAGCCUGACGCAGCGACGCCGCGUGACUGAUGAAGUCUUUCGGGAUGUAAAGGUCUUUUGCAGGGGAAGAAGGAUGUGACGGUACCCUGCGAAUAAGCUCCGGCUAACUACGUGCCAGCAGCCGCGGUAAUACGUAGGGAGCGAGCGUUGUCCGAAUUUACUGGGCGUAAAGCGCGCGUAGGCGGGUCAAUAAGUUGUGGGUGAAAUGCCGAGGCUCAACCUCGGCGCUGCCUGCAAGACUGUUGGUCUUGAGGUAUGGAGGGGAAAGCGGAAUUCCUGGUGUAGCGGUGAAAUGCGUAGAUAUCAGGAGGAACACCGAUGGCGAAGGCAGCUUUCUGGCCAUAUCCUGACGCUGAGGUGCGAAAGCCAGGGUAGCGAACGGGAUUAGAUACCCCGGU